GUAGUUCGUGUUUCAUUAUUUUGGUUUUCUUCCUUCUCACACUUCUUCUCUCCGCACCCAAUCAAACACACACUCUCUCCCCCCUCUCUCUCUCUCUCUCUCUCUCUCUUCCAGUGAUCAGGGGAUCGCGUCGGCGGCGAUUCCCUACCCUGUUUCGCCGUCCACCUUUCAAUUCGACUCUCUCGCUUUCGCUUUUCUGAUUCCCUCUAUGAAAGUGCUUCCCGUCGCUUGCUAGGGUUUCCCAACUCUCAAAUCCGCUUCCCCGAAAGCACCCUGUACCUUUUCUUUCUGCGAUUAAUCAACUUCGUAGUUAUGGCUAUCCGGGUUACCUUCUCCUUCUCUGGCUACGUGGCCCAGAAUCUCGCGUCCUCCGCCGGCGUCCGCGUCGCCAAUUCGCGAUGCGUCCAAGAAUGCUGGAUCCGCACGCGCCUCUUCGGCGCCACCCAGAAAACGGAACUAGAUUCUUCCGCCGGCGGAGUCCGAAAUUUCUCCAGGCCCAACUGCUGGGCCCAGUCCACUUACUCCACCCUCGCCGGUGAGUUUCUCGGCGACGGCUUCAAGAGCCCAAUCAUCUUGGGCCUGAUUUCAGUUAUGAAGUCAACGGCGGGUGUGUCUGGGUCAUCCGCGGCGGCUGCGGGUAUUUUCGGUAUUUCUCCCUUUAAAACAAAUUCCAUUAUUCCCUUCUUGCCCGGUUCGAAGUGGCUUCCUUGCAACGAGUCCAUUCCCGACGCCACCUCGUGGGAGGUCGAUAAAGGUGGCACGAAACACACCGUUCCGAACGAUGUUCCCGGUUUUGGAAAAACUAGUUGGCUUUCGCGGCUUUUGAACAUGUCUUCUGAAGAUGCGAAGGCUGCGUUCACUGCCAUUACCGUUAGUUUGCUGUUUAAAUCGUCUUUGGCUGAACCUAGAUCCAUUCCCUCCGCUUCUAUGUAUCCUACUCUUGAAGUGGGUGACCGUGUUUUAACCGAGAAGGUUUCGUUCCUCUUCAGGAAGCCCGAUGUUUCGGAUAUAGUGAUUUUUAAAGCGCCUCCUUCUUUGGAGGAUUAUGGUUUUACUUCGUCUGAUGUAUUUAUAAAGAGGAUUGUGGCUAAGGCAGGGGAUUGUGUUGAGGUUCGAGAUGGGAAACUACUGGUAAAUGGUGUUGCUGAAGAACAGGAAUUUGUAUUAGAACCUCUAGCUUAUGAGAUGGAUCCAAUGGUUGUGCCAGAAGGAUAUGUGUUUGUAAUGGGAGAUAACCGGAAUAACAGCCUUGAUUCUCACAACUGGUAAUUUCUCAGCCCUUUUCGAACUGACUUUCUCUUGUUUAUGCUGGAAGAUAUUUUAGUAUAGGUCGACGACAGAUUUUGGCCCAUUUGUUGAUGCUGUUCUUCUCAAAACAAUCUAGCUUAUGGGGCCCCUCCCAAUCGAGAACAUUGUUGGUAGAUCCAUGUUUAGGUACUGGCCUCCAUCUAAGGUGUCUGACUCUGACACCCUUCGUAAACUGCCUCCUAAGAACAAAUCUGUGGCAAUUUCUUGACAUGAUUCCAGCUGCUUUCUGAUCUGAGGGUGAUGAAGGUUUCCAGAUACUUUCAUAUGUUGUAAAUUGAUAGCUUCUCCUGUUUUUGCCCGGGAAUGAGCUUUCAAUUCAAAGAUUCUCUAAGAAGAGCCUGCGUGAGCUGGCUCUGCAUACAGUUUGGGAUGAAUAUCGUAUUCAUUGAUACAAAUUUGUCAAUGACCUAAUAAUACCAUUAUGCGUUCUUUAGUGCCAUCCGAGUCAAAUGUGUUUCUCUUUGCUGAAGUACGGGGGAGAAAAAACAAAGAAUUCCAAAUGCAUGGUAUGAUUUUACCCCAUAUAAUGGAACAUGAUGAUUGAUUUGUUUUGUAUUCUUUCAUGUAUGUAUACUAUCUGAAUGCUUGUUAGUUCCAUAAUCAAGCCUCCUCGUAAUUUGAAUCUGUAAUGUCAUUCAGUCAUACAUGAAAUUGUAUGGCACAAAUUGGUUGCCUAUUUUAAAAUCAA